rnacentral:misc_RNA from 1 species
AACCUAGCACACCUGCGGUGUGUACCUGCGGAAGGAUCAUUAAAGAGUAAGGGUGCUCAGCGCCCGACCUCCAACCCUCUGUUGUUAAAACUACCUUGUUGCUUUGGCGGGACCGCUCGGUCUCGAGCCGCCGGGGAUUCGUCCCAGGCGAGCGCCCGCCAGAGUUAAACCAAACUCUUGUUAUUUAAACCGGUCGUCUGAGUUAAAAAUUUUGAAUAAAUCAAAACUUUUAACAAUGGA